UAUAAUCAAUUCAAAAAUCUAACCUUGAAACACGCGUAUUUUAAAUUCCGCUGUAAAGGCUAGUUCAUAUUGGAACGAACAUCGCAUAAAAAGUGCGAUUUAAAAUGGCGUCGUGUUUAUCGUAAAAAAGUUGAAAAAAUUGAACUUUUUUGCGAUUUCCGCAAAAUAUUAUACGUCAACAUACAAUGAGGUUAUAUUGCUUUGACUCUCGUUUUUUAAGUCCAUACAUCGAAAUUGAAUCCGAAAUGGACGAAUGUGUCAGGUUUCGCCAAGCCGAGAAUUGGCUAAUUCAUCACAGGCUCCAGAAUGCUUAUUUGAUUGACUCAAAACAGCUGCCCUCAGUCUGGUGUUACUUGCCUUCAAUUUUUCAACAAAUUUCAUCAAGUUUUCUAAAUGAAUUUUACAGGAACUACAUAUAUUUUUGGGUAGUAUGUCAUUCCCAGUAAACUGAAAUGCAUUUCAAUUUAAUUAUAUGAUAUACCUACC